UACGUAGGGUGCAAGCGUUGUCCGGAAUUAUUGGGCGUAAAGAGCUCGUAGGCGGCUCGGUAAGUCAGGUGUCAAAUCCUCAGGCUCAACCUGGGGCUCCACCUGAUACUGCUGUGGCUAGAGUCCGGUAGGGGAGCGUGGAAUUCCUGGUGUAGCGGUGAAAUGCGCAGAUAUCAGGAGGAACACCGUGGCGGAAGGCGGUCUCUGGACGUACUGACGCUGAGACGACGAAGCGUGGGUAGCAAACAGG
rnacentral:rRNA from 1 species